GUGAACGCUGGCGGUAGGCCUAACACAUGCAAGUCGAACGGCAGCACAGUAAGAGCUUGCUCUUACGGGUGGCGAGUGGCGGACGGGUGAGGAAUACAUCGGAAUCUACAUUUUCGUGGGGGAUAACGUAGGGAAACUUACGCUAAUACCGCAUACGACCUACGGGUGAAAGCAGGGGAUCUUCGGACCUUGCGCGAUUGAAUGAGCCGAUGUCGGAUUAGCUAGUUGGCGGGGUAAAGGCCCACCAAGGCGACGAUCCGUAGCUGGUCUGAGAGGAUGAUCAGCCACACUGGAACUGAGACACGGUCCAGACUCCUACGGGAGGCAGCAGUGGGGAAUAUUGGACAAUGGGCGCAAGCCUGAUCCAGCCAUACCGCGUGGGUGAAGAAGGCCUUCGGGUUGUAAAGCCCUUUUGUUGGGAAAGAAAAGCAGCAGGUUAAUACCCCGCUGUUCUGACGGUACCCAAAGAAUAAGCACCGGCUAACUUCGUG
rnacentral:rRNA from 1 species